CCUACGGGAGGCAGCAGUGAGGAAUAUUGGUCAAUGGGCGAGAGCCUGAACCAGCCAAGUCGCGUGAGGGAGUACUGCCCUAUGGGUUGUAAACCUCUUUUGUCGGGGAGCAAAAGCCGGACGUGUCCGGCUGUGAGAGUACCCGAAGAAAAAGCAUCGGCUAACUCCGUGCCAGCAGCCGCGGUAAUACGGAGGAUGCGAGCGUUAUCCGGAUUUAUUGGGUUUAAAGGGUGCGCAGGCGGAUCUUUAAGUCAGCGGUAAAAUCGUGGGGCUCAACCCCAUCCAGCCGUUGAAACUGGGGAUCUAGAGUGUGCGAGAGGUAUGCGGAAUGCGUGGUGUAGCGGUGAAAUGCAUAGAUAUCACGCAGAACCCCGAUUGCGAAGGCAGCAUACCGGUGCACAACUGACGCUCAGGCACGAAAGCGUGGGUAUCGAACAGGAUUAGAUACCCGUGUAGUC
rnacentral:rRNA from 1 species